CAAGCAACUGAAUGAUGAUCGAUUGAACUGAAUUCCUCCAUCUCCAUUGAAAGCAAGCAUCAGAGCUAAACUUCACCCGCCGCAGAUGCUUCAAUGGUGCAGAAGCUCUGCUCCGUCCGGCGGGACCCACGUCCGGCGCCUCCGUAGCCGACUUCAUCCCUCAAUUGAUCUACUGACUCCUCAUCGGUGGUCCUACCGUAAAACAUUCUCGACUAUGCCUCGGACGACAGCCACAGUCAGUGAAGGUGGCGCCGGUGACCUCCACGCGCCCCGGAGGAGCUACCAGGUCGUGGUGGCGGCGACUCGGGAUAUGGGGAUCGGAAAGGAUGGGAAGUUGCCCUGGAAGCUGCCCCGCGAGCUCAAGUUCUUCAAGGAGCUCACUUCCGCGGUGGCCGAUCCCGGGAGGAACAAGAGGAAUGCGGUCCUGAUGGGUAGGAGAACCUGGGAGAGCAUCCCUCGGCAGUUCCAGCCUCUUCCCGGGCGGUUGAACGUCGUGCUGACUCGGUCCGGAAUCGCUGGAGUCGAGAGCACCGAGGAUGUCCUGCUGGCUGGGAGCGUGAGCUCGGCUCUGGAGUUACUCUCGGCGUCUCCUUAUUGUUCAUCGAUCGAGAGCGUCUUUGUUAUCGGUGGCGGCGAGAUAUUAAGGGAGGCGCUUGAUGCUCAGCUAUGUGAUGCGAUUCACAUUACCGAAAUCGAGACUGACAUCGAUUGCGACACCUACAUCCCUGCUAUCGAUUUGUCCGUUUUCAAGCCGUGGUACUCCUCUUUGCCGGUUGUUGAGAACAAUAUUCGAUAUUCGUUUGUAACGUAUAUUCGCGUGAGAAAUUCCCCUAUAUUAGAAUCUCAACCGCUCAGUGGCAUAGAGAAGUUCAAUGUGGAGUGCUUCUCGUUUCUCCCAAAGAUGAUCCUUGAGAGACAUGACGAGUUUGCGUACCUUAAGCUGGUUCAGGAAGUCCUAUCAAGUGGGACUCGAAAAGUCGAUAGGACAGGUACUGGCCUUAUGUCGAAAUUCGGUCUUCAGAUGAGGUUCAAUCUUCGGAAAUCUUUUCCUCUUCUUACAACAAAGAGGCUAUGUUGGCAAUGGACCGUAGACGAAUUUCUGAAGUUCAUUAGCGGCUCAACCAACGUGAAGUUGUAUGAUGCUAUCGACAAGAUUAUGUCCUGUACAGACGAUCAAGGGAUCAUCCUCUUGAGCUACAAUCCAUUGUCAGAUACCCAGUCAGACUCUGCUGGCCUCCCAUAUUGUCCCUUAGUCGCUCAGUUUCCAUUGUGCAGUUUUACGUGUCCAAUGGAGAAGUGUCCUGUCAAGCGUACCAGGAAUCAGUUGAUGUUGCCCUGGAUCUUCCAUAUAGCAUUGCAUCGUGUGCUUUGUUGACUUGUACCAUCGCUCAUUUUUGUGGCCUUCGUUCCAGUGAUCUAAUCCAAGCAGUAGGAGAUGCUUAUGUUUCUGACUGUCACAUCCUACCUCUGCAGGAGCAACUUGAGCGACUGCCCCGCCCUUUCCCAUCUUUAAAGAUUGAUGGCCGGGGGAAGGAUAUCGGCUCGCUCACAGCAAUUGAUUUCGAACUUAUGGACUAUCAUCCUUGCUCCUGAAGAGGGUACAGGUUGCUUACGGAGAUCUGAAGACUGCAUAAAGCUUGGAAAUCUAACAGAUACUGGCCUAUUGAAGAAGAAGAAUUUUCGCUCACAGCAAUUGAUUUCGAACUUAUGGCUUCGAAUUUUAUUUUGCUGUGAUUAUGAAAUAACAUCAGAUGAAAGAUAGCAUUGUACAUAGCAGGCAACACGCUUGCAUUGAUGUAUUCUUUACUUGUCCAAACAUUGCAUGAAUGAAUUAUCUGUUCCGGUUUA